GGGGAAUUUUCCGCAAUGGGCGCAAGCCUGACGGAGCAAUACCGCGUGAGGGAAGAAGGCCUUUGGGUUGUAAACCUCUUUUCUCAGGGAAGAAGCAAUGACGGUACCUGAGGAAUCAGCAUCGGCUAACUCCGUGCCAGCAGCCGCGGUAAUACGGAGGAUGCAAGCGUUAUCCGGAAUUAUUGGGCGUAAAGCGUCCGCAGGUGGCUAGUCAAGUCUGCGGUCAAAGACAGAAGCUAAACUUCUGGAAGGCCGUGGAAACGGGCAAGCUAGAGUACGGUAGGGGUAGAGGGAAUUCCCAGUGUAGCGGUGAAAUGCGUAGAGAUUGGGAAGAACACCAGUGGCGAAAGCGCUCUACUGGGCCUGUACUGACACUGAGGGACGAAAGCUAGGGGAGCGAAAGGGAUUAGAUACCCCUGUAGUC
rnacentral:rRNA from 1 species